rnacentral:rRNA from 1 species
UACGUAGGGGGCAAGCGUUGUCCGGAAUCAUUGGGCGUAAAGCGCGUGUAGGCGGCUCAGUAAGUCCGCUCUGAAAGCCCGGGGCUCAACCCCGGGAGGCCGGGUGGAUACUGCUGAGCUUGAGUCCGGAAGAGGCGGAGUGGGAAAUUCCCGGUGAUAGCGGUGAAAUGCGCAGAUAUCGGGAGAACACCAGAGGCGAAGGCGGC